rnacentral:tRNA from 5 species
GGGGCUGUAGCUCAGCUGGCUAGAGCACCUGCUUUGCAAGCAGGGGGUCACGAGUUCGAAUCUCGUCAGCUCCACCA